rnacentral:rRNA from 1 species
UACGGAGGGGGCUAGCGUUGCUCGGAAUUACUGGGCGUAAAGCGCACGUAGGCGGCUUUGUAAGUUAGAGGUGAAAGCCCGGGGCUCAACCCCGGAAUAGCCUUUAAGACUGCAUCGCUUGAACGUCGGAGAGGUGAGUGGAAUUCCGAGUGUAGAGGUGAAAUUCGUAGAUAUUCGGAAGAACACCAGUGGCGAAGGCGGCUCACUGGACGACUGUUGACGCUGAGGUGCGAAAGCGUGGGGAGCAAACAGG